AUGACCUAUCACUUUUGAUGCACACUAUUUUUUACUUUGUUAUUUUAUACAGUACUCUCAUGAAAACGAACUUCUUUGUAUAUUCAACAGAGCUCAAAGUAUGGAAGCUUUAUUAGAAGAAAGGAUACAGCUUCUACAGGAACGUAUGAAAGCAAUUUCUGCUCAAAGACAACAAAUUGAAGAAGCAAAUCGGGGACUUGAAGAAGAAAUUAAUAAACUGGGUAAAAAAUUUGUUGAAAUGGCAGAAAAAGUUAAAGUUUCUGAUGAAUCAGAAGUCAAUAAUUCAGAAUCAUAAAUUUUUUUAUAAUUUGCAUUACUAUUAUGAUUAAUAAAAUAAAAUAGAAUUAUUAUAUAACAUUUA